UACAGAGGGGGCAAGCGUUAUUCGGAAUUAUUGGGCGUAAAGGGCGCGUAGGCGGCUUUUCAAGUGACGGGUGAAAUCCCUCGGCUUAACCGAGGAACUGCCUUUAGACUGCAUCGGACGUCUGAAUCCGGGAGAGGUGAGUGGAAUUCCCGAGUGUAGCAGGUGAAAAUUCGUAGAUAUUCGUGAAGAACACCAGUGGCGAAGGCGGCUCACUGGACCGGCAUUGACGCUGAUGUGCGAAAGCGUGGGGAGCAAACAGG
rnacentral:rRNA from 1 species